rnacentral:rRNA from 1 species
GGCCACGCCUGGCCGAGGGUCGGCU